GACGAACGCUGGCGGCGUGCUUAACACAUGCAAGUCGAACGGAAAGGCCCUGCUUUUGUGGGGUGCUCGAGUGGCGAACGGGUGAGUAACACGUGAGUAACCUGCCCUUGACUUUGGGAUAACUUCAGGAAACUGGGGCUAAUCUCGGAUAGGAGCUCCUGCUGCAGGGUGGGGGUUGGAAAGUUUCGGCGGUUGGGGAUGGACUCGCGGCUUAUCAGCUUGUUGGUGGGGUAGUGGCUUACCAAGGCUUUGACGGGUAGGCGGCCUGAGAGGGUGACCGGCCACAUUGGGACUGAGAUACGGCCCAGACUCCUACGGGAGGCAGCAGUGGGGAAUAUUGCACAAUGGGCGGAAGCCUGAUGCAGCAACGCCGCGUGCGGGAUGACGGCCUUCGGGUUGUAAACCGCUUUCGCCUGUGACGAAGCGUGAGUGACGGUAAUGGGUAAAGAAGCACCGGCUAACUACGUG
rnacentral:rRNA from 1 species